GGGUCAUAGCUCAGUGGCAGAGCAUCUGCCUAGCAGCUAGAAGGUCUCUGGUUCAAUCCCUGGCAAUCUCCA